rnacentral:pre_miRNA from 10 species
AAAUACCUCCAUGGGGCCUUCUCUUCCCAGUUCUUCCUGGAGUCGGGGAAAAGCUGGGUUGAGAAGGUGAAAAGAAAAAACAA